rnacentral:rRNA from 1 species
UACGUAGGGGGCAAGCGUUGUCCGGAAUCAUUGGGCGUGAAGCGCGUGUAGGCGGUCCGGUAAGUCCGCUGUGGAAAGUCGGGGGCUCAACCCUCGGAUGCCGGUGGAUACUGUCGGGCUUGAGUACGGGAGAGGCGGAGUGGGAAUUCCUGGUGUAGCGGUGAAAUGCGCAGAUAUCAGGAGGAACACCGAUUGCGAAGGC